UGAACGCUGGCGGCAGGCCUAACACAUGCAAGUCGAGCGGUAGCACAGAGAGCUUGCUCUCGGGUGACGAGCGGCGGACGGGUGAGUAAUGUCUGGGAAACUGCCUGAUGGAGGGGGAUAACUACUGGAAACGGUAGCUAAUACCGCAUAACGUCGCAAGACCAAAGUGGGGGACCUUCGGGCCUCAUGCCAUCAGAUGUGCCCAGAUGGGAUUAGCUAGUAGGUGGGGUAACGGCUCACCUAGGCGACGAUCCCUAGCUGGUCUGAGAGGAUGACCAGCCACACUGGAACUGAGACACGGUCCAGACUCCUACGGGAGGCAGCAGUGGGGAAUAUUGCACAAUGGGCGCAAGCCUGAUGCAGCCAUGCCGCGUGUGUGAAGAAGGCCUUCGGGUUGUAAAGCACUUUCAGCGGGGAGGAAGGCGUUAAGGUUAAUAACCUUGGCGAUUGACGUUACCCGCAGAAGAAGCACCGGCUAACUCCGUGCCAGCAGCCGCGGUAAUACGGAGGGUGCAAGCGUUAAUCGGAAUUACUGGGCGUAAAGCGCACGCAGGCGGUCUGUCAAGUCGGAUGUGAAAUCCCCGGGCUCAACCUGGGAACUGCAUUCGAAACUGGCAGGCUAGAGUCUUGUAGAGGGGGGUAGAAUUCCAGGUGUAGCGGUGAAAUGCGUAGAGAUCUGGAGGAAUACCGGUGGCGAAGGCGGCCCCCUGGACAAAGACUGACGCUCAGGUGCGAAAGCGUGGGGAGCAAACAGGAUUAGAUACCCUGGUAGUCCACGCCGUAAACGAUGUCGAUUUGGAGGUUGUGCCCUUGAGGCGUGGCUUCCGGAGCUAACGCGUUAAAUCGACCGCCUGGGGAGUACGGCCGCAAGGUUAAAACUCAAAUGAAUUGACGGGGGCCCGCACAAGCGGUGGAGCAUGUGGUUUAAUUCGAUGCAACGCGAAGAACCUUACCUGGUCUUGACAUCCACAGAACUUUCCAGAGAUGGAUUGGUGCCUUCGGGAACUGUGAGACAGGUGCUGCAUGGCUGUCGUCAGCUCGUGUUGUGAAAUGUUGGGUUAAGUCCCGCAACGAGCGCAACCCUUAUCCUUUGUUGCCAGCGGUCCGGCCGGGAACUCAAAGGAGACUGCCAGUGAUAAACUGGAGGAAGGUGGGGAUGACGUCAAGUCAUCAUGGCCCUUACGACCAGGGCUACACACGUGCUACAAUGGCAUAUACAAAGAGAAGCGACCUCGCGAGAGCAAGCGGACCUCAUAAAGUAUGUCGUAGUCCGGAUUGGAGUCUGCAACUCGACUCCAUGAAGUCGGAAUCGCUAGUAAUCGUAGAUCAGAAUGCUACGGUGAAUACGUUCCCGGGCCUUGUACACACCGCCCGUCACACCAUGGGAGUGGGUUGCAAAAGAAGUAGGUAGCUUAACCUUCGGGAGGGCGCUUACCACUUUGUGAUUCAUGACUGGGGUGA
rnacentral:rRNA from 1 species